rnacentral:rRNA from 1 species
UACAGAGGUCUCAAGCGUUGUUCGGAUUCAUUGGGCGUAAAGGGUGUGUAGGUGGCGCCGUAAGUCGGGUGUGAAAUCUCGGGGCUUAACUCCGAAACUGCAUUCGAUACUGCGGUGCUUGAGGACUGGAGAGGAGACUGGAAUUCAUGGUGUAGCAGUGAAAUGCGCAGAUAUCAGGAGGAACACCGGUGGCGAAGGCGGGUCUCUGGGCAACAACUGACGCUGAGGAGCGAAAGCGUGGGGAGCGAACAGG